rnacentral:rRNA from 1 species
AUUGAACGCUGGCGGCAUGCUUUACACAUGCAAGUCGAACGGCAGCGCGGGCUUCGGCCUGGCGGCGAGUGGCGAACGGGUGAGUAAUGCAUCGGAACGUGCCCAGUAGUGGGGGAUAGCCCGGCGAAAGCCGGAUUAAUACCGCAUACGACCUGAGGGUGAAAGCGGGGGACCGAAAGGCCUCGCGCUAUUGGAGCGGCCGAUGGCGGAUUAGCUAGUUGGUGGGGUAAAGGCUUACCAAGGCGACGAUCCGUAGCUGGUCUGAGAGGACGACCAGCCACACUGGGACUGAGACACGGCCCAGACUCCUACGGGAGGCAGCAGUGGGGAAUUUUGGACAAUGGGGGCAACCCUGAUCCAGCCAGGCCGGGUGCGGGAAGAAGGCCUUCGGGUUGUAAACCGCUUUUGUUCGGGAAGAAAUCCUCUGGGCUAAUACCCCGGGGGGAUGACGGUACCGGAAGAAUAAGCACCGGCUAACUACGUG